rnacentral:rRNA from 1 species
GCCCUAGUAACGGCGAGUGAAGCGGCAACAGCUCAAAUUUGAAAUCUGGCUCUCGGGCCCGAGUUGUAAUUUGUAGAGGAUGCUUUUGAUGCGGUGCCUUCCGAGUUCCCUGGAACGGGACGCCAUAGAGGGUGAGAGCCCCGUCUGGUUGGAUGCCAAAUCUCUGUAAAGCUCCUUCGACGAGUCGAGUAGUUUGGGAAUGCUGCUCUAAAUGGGAGGUAUAUGUCUUCUAAAGCUAAAUACCGGCCAGAGACCGAUAGCGCACAAGUAGAGUGAUCGAAAGAUGAAAAGCACUUUGAAAAGAGAGUUAAAAAGUACGUGAAAUUGUUGAAAGGGAAGCGUUUAUGACCAGACUUGGGCUUGGUUAAUCAUCUGGGGUUCUCCCCAGUGCACUUUUCCAGUCCAGGCCAGCAUCAGUUUUCGCCGGGGGAUAAAGGCUUCGGGAAUGUGGCUCUCUCCGGGGAGUGUUA